rnacentral:rRNA from 1 species
CAGUCGAGCGGUACAGAAAGUAGCUUGCUACUUUGCUGACGAGCGGCGGACGGGUGAGUAAUGCUUGGGAACAUGCCUUGAGGUGGGGGACAACAGUUGGAAACGACUGCUAAUACCGCAUAAUGUCUACGGACCAAAGGGGGCUUCGGCUCUCGCCUUUAGAUUGGCCCAAGUGGGAUUAGCUAGUUGGUGAGGUAAUGGCUCACCAAGGCGACGAUCCCUAGCUGGUUUGAGAGGAUGAUCAGCCACACUGGGACUGAGACACGGCCCAGACUCCUACGGGAGGCAGCAGUGGGGAAUAUUGCACAAUGGGCGCAAGCCUGAUGCAGCCAUGCCGCGUGUGUGAAGAAGGCCUUCGGGUUGUAAAGCACUUUCAGUCAGGAGGAAAGCGUGGUGGUUAAUACCCAUCAUGUGUGACGUUACUGACAGAAGAAGCACCGGCUAACUCCGUGCCAGCAGCCGCGGUAAUACGGAGGGUGCGAGCGUUAAUCGGAAUUACUGGGCGUAAAGCGUACGCAGGCGGUUUGUUAAGCGAGAUGUGAAAGCCCCGGGCUCAACCUGGGAACUGCAUUUCGAACUGGCAAACUAGAGUGUGAUAGAGGGUGGUAGAAUUUCAGGUGUAGCGGUGAAAUGCGUAGAGAUCUGAAGGAAUACCGAUGGCGAAGGCAGCCACCUGGGUCAACACUGACGCUCAUGUACGAAAGCGUGGGGAGCAAACGGGAUUAGAUACCCCGGUAGUCCACGCCGUAAACGAUGUCUACUAGAAGCUCGGAGCCUCGGUUCUGUUUUUCAAAGCUAACGCAUUAAGUAGACCGCCUGGGGAGUACGGCCGCAAGGUUAAAACUCAAAUGAAUUGACGGGGGCCCGCACAAGCGGUGGAGCAUGUGGUUUAAUUCGAUGCAACGCGAAGAACCUUACCUACACUUGACAUAC